rnacentral:rRNA from 1 species
UACGAAGGGGGCUAGCGUUGUUCGGAUUUACUGGGCGUAAAGGGCGCGUAGGCGGAUUGAUAAGUCAGGGGUGAAAUGCCAAGGCUCAACCUUGGAACGGCCUUUGAUACUGUUGAUCUCGAGUCCGGGAGAGGUGAGUGGAACUGCGAGUGUAGAGGUGAAAUUCGUAGAUAUUCGGAAGAACACCAGUGGCGAAGGCGACUUACUGGACACAUAUUGACGCUGAGGUGCGAAAGCGUGGGGAGCAAACAGG